GACGAACGCUGGCGGCGUGCUUAACACAUGCAAGUCGAACGGAAAGGCCCUGCUUUUGUGGGGUGCUCGAGUGGCGAACGGGUGAGUAACACGUGAGUAACCUGCCCUUGACUUUGGGAUAACUUCAGGAAACUGGGGCUAAUACCGGAUAGGAGCUCCUGCUGCAUGGUGGGGGUUGGUAAGUUUCGGCGGUUGGGGAUGGACUCGCGGCUUAUCAGCUUGUUGGUGGGGUAGUGGCUUACCAAGGCUUUGACGGGUAGCCCGCCUGAGAGGGUGACCGGCCACAUUGGGACUGAGAUACGGCCCAGAAUCGUACGGGAGGCAGCAGUGGGGAAUAUUGCACAAUGGGCGGAAGCCUGAUGCAGCAACGCCGCGUGCGGGAUGACGGCCUUCGGGGUGUAAACCGCUUUCGCCUGUGACGAAGCGUGAGUGACGGUAAUGGGUAAAGAAGCACCGGCUAACUACGUG
rnacentral:rRNA from 1 species